UACGGGAGGCAGCAGUGGGGAAUAUUGCACAAUGGGCGCAAGCCUGAUGCAGCCAUGCCGCGUGUAUGAAAAAGGCCUUCGGGUUGUAAAGUACUUUCAGUCGUGAGGAAGGUGUUAAGGUUAAUAACCUUAGCAAUUGACGUUAGCGACAGAAGAAGCACCGGCUAACUCCGUGCCAGCAGCCGCGGUAAUACGGAGGGUGCGAGCGUUAAUCGGAAUUACUGGGCGUAAAGGGCACGCAGGCGGUUAAUUAAGUUGGAUGUGAAAUCCCCGGGCUUAACCUGGGAAUGGCAUUCAAGACUGGUUAGCUAGAGUCUUGUAGAGGGGGUAGAAUUCCGAUGUGUAGCGGUGAAAUGCGUAGAGAUGUGGAGGAAUACCGGUGGCGAAGGCGGCCCCUGGACAAAGACUGACGCUCAUGUGCGAAAGCGUGGGGAGCAAACGAGGGAUUAGAUACC
rnacentral:rRNA from 1 species